rnacentral:rRNA from 1 species
GCACUUGGAGGAUGUAUGGCAAUAGCUGGUUGCAUUAGAAAAAUUUAGUGUAAGAUCGACUAUGUCGAAUAAAAUUCUAGAUAGAAUUAUGAUAAUGACAUUAUCUAUCUAUGUGUCUUGACCAAAUUACGUGCCAGCAGUCGCGGUAAUACGUAGAAGACUAGUGUUAUUCAUCUUUAAUAGGUUUAAAGGGUACUUAGACGGUAAAUCAAGCCUGCAAAGGGACUAAUGUACUAGAGUUUGAUGUAAGGAAGUAUAAAAGUACUGUUGGUGUAGAGAUGAAAUUCUAUCAUACCAAAUAUGGCACAGGUUUGGGCAAAAGCAUCUUUUUAUGUAAUAACUGACGUUGAAGGACGAAGGCUUUGUGUCUCGAACAGGAUUAGAUACCCUAGUAGUCUAAGCAGACAAUGAUGAAUGUCAUAGAUUAGAUUUAAUUUAAUCUAUAAAUGAAAGUGUAAGCAUUCCACCUCAAGAGUAAUUUGGCAACAUUGGAACUGAAAUCAUUAGACCGUUUCUGAAACCAGUAGUGAAGUAUGUUGUUUAAUUAGAUAGCACGCCAAAAACCUUACCACAAUUUGAAUAUAAAAAAAAAAUUUUUUUUACAAGCGCUGCACGGCUGUCUUCAGUUAAUGUCGUGAGAUUUUGGUUAGUUCCAUUAAAUUAACGUAAACCCUUACUUUAUUUUUAUAUAAAGUAGUUCGCCGCUAGAUUGGAUAUGAUAAGAGGGACUAAGACAAGUCAUCAUGGCCUUAAUAUUGUGG